ensembl:snRNA U6 U6 spliceosomal RNA
GUGCUCACUUUGGCAGCACAUAUACUAAAAUUGAAUGAUAGAGAGAAGGUUAGCAUGGUCUCUAGAUAAGAAUAACACACAAAUUCAUGAAACAUUCCAGAUUUUU